ensembl:lncRNA
CCCUGCUGAACUCAGCAGCAGUCUGGCCGUGUUCUGUGUGCAUCACAUUUCCUCUAACCAUGAAGCACUGCUUGCUUCCUUGAGACUCCUUGUUCUUAACAGCUUAACAUCUGUCUGAUGAGAGACGUCUGGCCUUGGGGAACAAUCCUGCUACCUGUCUCAGCUGUCUUACCAAUUUCUGAGUGUUCUUAGCAUUCACCCUGGAUAUACCCAUGUUGUAAUUUAACCUGAUGGGAUCAACCAGAGUAACAUUAGGACAGAUGUGCUGUACCAAGACAGACUUGCACUGUGAUUUGGCUGAUGCUGAUUUUGCAGCAGAGUUCCAUGGGAUCCUAAAGAACCUGCCCUCAGUGUGUCACAAGGUUUGAAAAUGACCUUGUCAAAGGUGAAAGAGAAAUGGGAAGAAAUGUGUUUGUUUUUUUUAUUUAUUUAUUCAUUUAUUGCUGGGGAAGAGAGGGGAGGUGGGAAAGAGAUCAUUGAAAAGAUACUAGAAAAGACAAUCUCUUUAAAUUUCUACAGAAUUACAUUUAAAAUGAAUGUUGCCCCAAUUGGAGAUGGUACUACACUUAAGAAUACAUGAACUCCACUAUAGAACCUUGGAUAUUAGAUUUACACCUUUUUCUUUCCUCUGCUUACAUGUUUUGCUGUGUGACAUAGGAUUUAAUUGCCUUUCUCAGGCUCCUAUGAACUUUCACAGAUCUCAAAAUCUUGACUGAUCCUCCUUAUUGAUCCACUUUUCUCCCAGAGCAUCACAAGGCAGUUAUAGCGUGGUGCUGGUUCAAUAUGUCAGGCUUUCUCAGAAGAUGAGGAAUCUCUUGCCACUCCAGCUCCAGACUUAAGAUAAUCUGCUAUUGAGGCUCUGACAAUAGACUGUUGUGUUCUUCACUGAAAAAGAAAUAAUAAUUUAAAAAGAAAUUAUGGCAGAACUUCCAGAAAGAUGAAGACUAUAAUCAUGCAAACCAAGAAGCCCUGCCUUUUAGAUUUGAAGCACUUCUCUGAACCCCUAUGGCAGAGGGCUGGAACUACAUCUUCAAGGUUCCUUCUGACCCAAAACUUUCUGUGAGUCUACGUAAGUUUAAAAAAGCAGCUGAGAAGUGUGUUUGUUUGUUCUGAACUUAGUUUCAAUCCACCCACUUAGUGGAUGGCAGUAGGUGUAAUCUUUCUGGAUUUUGGUAAGGCAUUUGAUACCAUCCUUCACAGUUCCUUUUGAACAAAUUGUCCUACUGUGAGAUGAACAGUUUCACACUAUGCGGAGUGAUGAAGUGGCUGAAUGGUAGAGCUCAAAGGAUCACAUUGACUGGGGCUACACCUGGCUGGUGGCCAGUCACUAGUGGUGUUCCCUACAGCUGAAUUCUAGGGUCACUCCUGUUUAGCAUUUUUAUCAGUGAUCUGGAUGCAGAAAUCGAAUCCAUCCUUAGCAAGUCUGCUGACAAAUUUAGUUGCAAGGCUCUGUUGAUGAGAAGCCUUGAAGAGGGACUGGAGC